AGGGAAAUAGCUCGGUAAUAGAGCACAUGCUUAGCAUGCAUGAGGUCCUGGGUUCAAUCCCCAGUACCUCCA
rfam:Camelus ferus unplaced genomic scaffold scaffold598, whole genome shotgun sequence.